GGGCGCGUCUCGGAUGGUGAUCGGGUGCUGGUCAGAGCCGCUUUUUGGAAGCGAGGAGUCGGCGGUUCGAAACCGUCCGCGCCCA
rnacentral:tRNA from 1 species